GAUGAACGCUAGCGGCAGGCCUAACACAUGCAAGUCGAGGGGCAUCGCGGUGCAGCAAUGCACUGGCGGCGACCGGCGUACGGGUGCGUAACGCGUAUGCAACCUGCCCCGCACCGGGGGAUAGCCCGCCGAAAGGCGGAUUAAUACCCCAUGGCCCCGGGGGCCGCAUGGGCAUCCGGGUAAAGCUUUGGCGGUGCGGGAUGGGCAUGCGUGCCAUUAGCUGGCUGGUGGGGUAACGGGCCCACCAGGGCAACGAUGGCUAGGGGGUCUGAGAGGAUGGUCCCCCACACUGGUACUGAGACACGGACCAGACUCCUACGGGAGGCAGCAGUGAGGAAUCUUGGUCAAUGGACGGAAGUCUGAACCAGCCAUGUCGCGUGAAGGAGGACGGCCCUAAGGGUUGUAAACUUCUUUUGCAGGGGAAUAAAGUAUUCCACGAGAUGGGGAUAUUGCAAGUACGCUGCGAAUAAGGAUCGGCUAACUCCGUGCCAGCAGCCGCGGUUAAAACA
rnacentral:rRNA from 1 species